UACGUAGGCAGCGAGCGUUGUUCGGAGUUACUGGGCGUAAAGGGUGUGUAGGCGGUUCUUUAAGUUUGGUGUGAAAUCUCCCGGCUCAACCGGGAGGGUGCGUCGAAUACUGAGGGACUAGAGUACGGGAGAGGAAAGUGGAAUUCCUGGUGUAGCGGUGAAAUGCGUAGAUAUCAGGAGGAACACCGGUGGUGUAGACGGCUUUCUGGACCGUAACUGACGCUGAGGCGCGAAAGCCAGGGGAGCAAACGGG
rnacentral:rRNA from 1 species